GACCGCGUAGCUUAGUUGGCAGAGCAUUGGGCUAGUACUGCAAAGGUCGUAGGUUCGAUUCCCACCGUGGCCA
rnacentral:tRNA from 1 species